UGCAAGUCGAGGGGCAGCAUCAUUAAAGCUUGCUUUGAUGGAUGGCGACCGGCGCACGGGUGAGUAACACGUAUCCAACCUGCCGACAACACUGGGAUAGCCUUUCGAAAGAAAGAUUAAUACCGGAUGGCAUAGUCUUCCCGCAUGGGAUGACUAUUAAAGAAUUUCGGUUGUCGAUGGGGAUGCGUUCCAUUAGGCAGUUGGCGGGGUAACGGCCCACCAAACCAACGAUGGAUAGGGGUUCUGAGAGGAAGGUCCCCCACAUUGGAACUGAGACACGGUCCAAACUCCUACGGGAGGCAGCAGUGAGGAAUAUUGGUCAAUGGACGAGAGUCUGAACCAGCCAAGUAGCGUGAAGGAUGACUGCCCUAUGGGUUGCAAACUUCUUUUAUACGGGAAUAAAGUGAGCCACGUGUGGCUUUUUGUAUGUACCGUAUGAAUAAGGAUCGGCUAACUCCGUGCCAGCAGCCGCGGUAAUACGGAGGAUCCGAGCGUUAUCCGGAUUUAUUGGGUUUAAAGGGAGCGUAGGCGGGUUGUUAAGUCAGUUGUGAAAGUUUGCGGCUCAACCGUAAAAUUGCAGUUGAUACUGGCGACCUUGAGUGCAACAGAGGUAGGCGGAAUUCGUGGUGUAGCGGUGAAAUGCUUAGAUAUCACGAAGAACUCCGAUUGCGAAGGCAGCUUACUGGAUUGUAACUGACGCUGAUGCUCGAAAGUGUGGGUAUCAAACAGG
rnacentral:rRNA from 1 species